rnacentral:lncRNA from 1 species
GAAUGAGUCACCGGGCAGGCAUUUCAGCAGCACCUGUGUGGGGUGUGGAGCUGCGGCAGAGGAGGGGAGAGAGGGGCAGGCUGGCCAGGAGGCCAGCUCUGGGGCUGCCCCACUCUCACCCAGGCCGGCUUCCCUAGAUGCCAGCUGUCCCGCAUCUGUCCCGACACUCGUUUUGGCCUCGGGAGGCUGUUUCAUGUGGAAAUCAUUUUCUGUUUAGCUGCUGUCUUCCCAAGCAGACGUAAGUGCCUGAACUGCCCAGGCUCCGUCAUAUGUAACUUUUGGAGUUCAUCGUAGCUGCCACUUUUUCAGCCCCUAAAUAAUGAUGCCCGUUUUGCUCGAUGCCUCGAGUGACGCUCGAGGACUCUGGAAGGAUUGUUGCUGGAGCUUGUGCAGGGUGAGGGAAUCUGCCAGGGAGCGAGAGGCAUCUCCAUCGAGGGAAUACUUAAAAAAAAGAAAAAUCAGAAAUGUGUUGAGGAUGGAGGUGGGAGCACGCAGUGUGAUGUUCCAGGAAUCUUGCCCUACACCCAAGGACUUCAAGUCAGGAGGCUUUGAGGGAUGAGUGACAGACCUCAACCAACGUUAGCAAAAGAAGGAAAUUCAUGGAUUCAUGUAAUUAAAAUAUCCAGAAAAGGUCUGCCUUCAGGUAUGGCUGAACCCAGGGGUUCAAAGGUUGAAGCAUGUGUAUCAUUUUCUUUGGGCCCUGCUCUCUUCUGUGUUGGCUUCAUUCUUAGGCAGCCGUCUUGUGUGGCAUAGACGCCCUACAGGACCUCCAGGCUUUCUUCCUUCCAGUUCAGCACCACCAAGAGGAAGAGAGCGUCUCAUUUCCAAUGGCUGUAGCCUUAGCUAAAAUUCUGGGUUUGCUACUUAUUGACUCAUCUCACAUGCUCAUCCCUGAACCAAUGAGGCGUUGGGGAAUGGACUGCUCUGAUUGGUGGGGGCUGGGCCAAGCGUGCAUCCCUGGAGGUAGGGGAGGGGUCAGUCUUACUUAAGUCACAUGGACCAAGAGCAGGGAAGGGAUGGUCCCCAAGGAAAACGCAGGGUGCUGGUGUCAGAAGCAGCAGGAAUGGGAGCUGGGCAGGUCCCAGACAACAGAUGUCCUCCUCAUGGGAGGUAGAGUGGCUCCCAUCUAUCCAGCUUUGCCACCCACUUGCUGUGUGACCUUGAGCAAGCCCUUUUCCCUCUCUGAGCCUGAGUUACCCCAACUCUGCAGUGAUGAUCUCUAUGGACUCAUCUAGCUCUGAACUUCUGAGGCCAACAGACUUCAUUUAGCCAAUGGCCCAGCAUCCUAGCUUAACAGAUGCAAGCUGGGCCUUAGGAAUGCACAGCCUUCACAAACCCUGAGAUCGAACUUGGGGCCGGAAACCCAGCCUCCUGUUCCUGCCCUUCCCAGCCCGGCAUGGCCUGCAAUGGUGCGAGGGAAGAGCUCCCAGGAGGUUUCUUUGCAUAUCCCCAGUGUUCUCCAUCUAUAAUUGGCUCCAAAUGAGAUGAUCUCAUUCCUGAACACUGAGGAAGAUGGGGGGAGGGCGGGGACAGCUCCCUGGCAGCAUCUGACAUAUUUGUGACUAACCUGCUUCCCUCCGGGAGAGAGAGACGGUCCACUUUCUCGAAGAUGAUGUAAAAGUUUGAAAAAAAAAUGUCUUGGUAACAGAUUGAGGAGACUCCAGCUUUUUGUGCUUUUGAGGGGCCCACGGUGUUUCUCCACUCUGUCCAAACCGGGUGUCUUCUGACCGUUGCUCACAAGUCCUCUUGACCACACGUCCCGUCCACCUGGCCGGGGAGGAGUCCAGCAGGCCCGGUCCCUCCAGCAAUUUAUCUUGUCCGGACUCUUGAUGGAGUCUUGUGGCCGUUGGAGCUCGUUUAAAUGCCCAUACAUUAAUUUUGAAAGAUGAGCUCCUAAUCAACUUUUAAAAAGCUUGUCGAAGCACCAUCUGCUUGGCGUUUGUCACUAUCGCAUUACAUAAGAGGAAAGACAUUUUUAAAGAAUGCGGCUGCAUUUAGUAAUUGGAUCGCCGGAGAGGAGCCAAGCCGGGGCGGAUGGCACCGCGAUUCAGAAAUGCCACAGGCCUUCUCUGGGGGGCGGUGGCCUCCCCAGAUUCCGCAUGGUCUUGGCAGAGACCUGAGUGAGUGCAGCCCAGCCUGGGGGACAGGCCUGAGGGGCCUCUUUUCCUCUUGCUUUGUUCUCCCUCUUAUUUUUCCCUCCCCGCAUUUGUUUUUCCUCACCCCUGCCGUCUCAGAUUGAUUCUGUCCAGUGUUAGCAAUAAGCGAGUGACUUCACUUCUCUAAGCCCCAGUUUCCUCAUCUGGAAAAUGGGAAUGAGAAUCUAGCGCUGCUGUGAGAUUUAAAUGCGUUAACACACAGUGCCUGCCACGAGUGAGUGAGCAUUGCACAAACUGUGUCCGAUGCACGGAAGGUGCCGAAUUCAUGUCCAUUUUCCUUCCUUUUCUCUCUCUUCCACUUGACUCCUAAGUAUUUAGGAAGUGCCUGGCUCCAAGGCAGGCCACCUGGUGGCUGCACGUGGCCCCGUGCUCGGAAUGGCCCGCCCUUGGUUUAAUGCUCUGCCGUCGCCGUCUUGAAAUUCUUAAUAAUUUUUGAACAAGAGGCCCUUCAUUUUGCACUGGGCCCCACAAAUUAUGCAGCUGGUCCCGUGUAGAAGUCUAGAAGGAUGCUAUGUUUUAUUGGACUGCCUGAUGUUUAAAAUAAA